rnacentral:rRNA from 1 species
UACGUAGGGUGCGAGCGUUGUCCGGAAUUAUUGGGCGUAAAGGGCUCGUAGGCGGUCUGUUACGUCAGGAGUGAAAACUCGGGGCUCAACCCCGAGCCUGCUUCUGAUACGGGCAGACUAGAGGUAUGCAGGGGAGAACGGAAUUCCUGGUGUAGCGGUGAAAUGCGCAGAUAUCAGGAGGAACACCGGUGGCGAAGGCGGUUCUCUGGGCAUUACCUGACGCUGAGGAGCGAAAGUGUGGGGAGCGAACAGG